UAAGAAUAAUCUAAUUAUAUUAAUAUGGAACAAUAUAGAGAAGAUUAGCAUGUCCCCUACGAAAGUAUGACACACAUCUACCAAAUGCUCGUUAUAUUUUC
rfam:Cucumis sativus cultivar 9930 chromosome 3, whole genome shotgun sequence.